CGCAAUCACUUGUCCUUUAAAUGAGGACCCGUAUGAAUGGCAUAACGAGGGCUUGACUGUCUCCCUUAUCUAGUCAAUGAAAUUGAUCUCCCCGUGCAGAAGCGGGGAUGGGAUCAUAAGACGAGAAGACCCUAUGGAGCUUUAGAUAAUCAGACGGCCCACGCAAAACAGUACCACCCACAACUGGACUGACCCUUUAGUGGAGCCCCCGUCUUAUGUCUUUGGUUGGGGCGACCAUGGGGAAAAGAAAAUCCCCCAUGAGGAACGAGGGCCUCCCCCUUAUAGCCGAGAGCUACGACUCCAAGCAUCAGAACCUCUGACCCUAAUGAUCCGGCCCACCAGCCGAUCAACGAACCGAGUUACCCUAGGGAUAACAGCGCAAUCUCCUCUCAGAGCCCAUAUCGACGAGGAGGUUUACGACCUCGAUGUUGGAUCAGGACAUCCUAAUGGUGCAGCCGCUAUUAAGGGUUCGUUUGUUCAACGAUUAACAGUCCUACGUGA
rnacentral:rRNA from 1 species